UACGUAGGGUGCAAGCGUUAAUCGGAAUUACUGGGCGUAAAGCGUGCGCAGGCGGUUUUGUAAGUCUGUCGUGAAAGCCCCGGGCUCAACCUGGGAAUUGCGAUGGAGACUGCAAGGCUAGAAUCUGGCAGAGGGGGGUAGAAUUCCACGUGUAGCAGUGAAAUGCGUAGAGAUGUGGAGGAACACCGAUGGCGAAGGCAGCCCCCUGGGUCAAGAUUGACGCUCAUGCACGAAAGCAUGGGGAGCAAACAGG
rnacentral:rRNA from 1 species